AGGAUGAACGCUGGCGGCGUGCCUAAUACAUGCAAGUCGAGCGGUAAGGCCCCUUCGGGGGUACACGAGCGGCGGACGGCUGAGUAACGCGUGGGAACGUACCCCAAAGUGAGGGAUAAGCACCAGAAAUGGUGUCUAAUACCGCAUGUGCUCUAAGGAGUAAAGCUUCGGCGCUUUGGGAACGGCCUGCGUCCGAUUAGCUUGUUGGUGAGGUAAUGGCUUACCAAGGCGAUGAUCGGUAGCUGGUCUGAGAGGAUGAUCAGCCAGACUGGGACUGAGAACGGCCCAGACUCCUACGGGAGGCAGCAGUAGGGAAUUUUCCACAAUGGGCGAAAGCCUGAUGGAGCAACGCCGCGUGCAGGAUGAAAUCCCUUGGGAUGUAAACUCCUUUCGAUCGGGAAGAUAAUGACGGUACCGGAAGAAGAAGCCCCGGCUAACUUCGUGCCAGCAGCCGC
rnacentral:rRNA from 1 species